GGGGGCACACUUAGAAGACCCCCUGUGCUGGUGUGUUAAUAGUGACUCUUUUGGUCCGAGAGCCAUGGUUAGUGAAUC
rnacentral:ncRNA from 1 species